rnacentral:rRNA from 1 species
CCUACGGGGGGCAGCAGUGAGGUAUAUUGGUCAAUGGACGAGAGUCUGAACCAGCCAAGUAGCGUGAAGGAUGACUGCCCUAUGGGUUGUAAACCUCUUUUAUGCGGGGAUAAAGGUGUCCACGUGUGGAUGUUUGCAGGUACCGCAUGAAUAAGGACCGGCUAAUUCCGUGCCAGCAGCCGCGGUAAUACGGAAGGUCCGGGCGUUAUCCGGAUUUAUUGGGUUUAAAGGGAGCGUAGGCCGGUCUUUAAGCGUGCCGUGAAAUUUUGUGGCUCAACCAUGAGAGUGCGGCGCGAACUGGAGACCUUGAGUGCGCGGAAGGCAGGCGGAAUUCGUGGUGUAGCGGUGAAAUGCUUAGAUAUCACGAAGAACCCCGAUUGCGAAGGCAGCCUGCCGCAGCGUUACUGACGCUGAAGCUCGAAAGCGUGGGUAGCAAACAGGAUUAGAUACCCGAGUAGUC